UUUAACAUUAAUUCCAAUUUUACAAAAUGGCUUCUUGCAAUUCCUAAGUGGUAAAAAAAUUUAAUAACAAAACAUGCAAAAUUUAUCUUAUAAAUCGUUUAAAAACAUUUCUUAUACAAAAUGCAAAAUAAGUAAAAUAUGACUAAAAUCAACAUGUUUAUUUAUGCUUUGAUCAUCUUUUCUUUUCCGUUUCUUGUUGAAUGCUCUAAUUAUAAGAAAAGUAUGUCAUUUUUUACACCAUUUUCAAAUUUAUCUCAUACACAAUAGUAUAAAACCUCUUAUAAUGUUUCUUUUUUCUUAUUUGACAAUGCAGCUAAUAUCCGCUGCAAAACUAACGAGGAUUGUCCACGAUCAGUAAAAUUUGUUUGGAUAUGCAAAGAAAAAUUUUGUGAGUUAAUUAAUUAAAUUGAACCUUUUAUAAUAUAAUUUUAUGUGAUCCUCAUAAUGUUUGUGCUCUUAAUAAUUUAUUUCAAAAUUUGUAUGAUGUAGUAUAAUAAUAUGCAAGUAAUUUUAUCUUUCUUCGCUCAUAGAGAUAUAGUAAACAACAACAUAACUGCAUAGUUAUUAAUUAGUAAUAAAGUUAACUUAAUAAAUAAUCCAGUUGCAUGUACGUAUUUUGUUUUCAGAAACCUGUCACAAAUUGUUUUUCCUGUUGUUUGAAAAGACAAAAACAUUGUUACUGUUUCUACCACAUUAUUUUAUAGGUGCUUUAUUUUUUUAUGUGAUGGUCAUAAUGUUUG
rnacentral:lncRNA from 1 species